CCCCCCGGGGGUCCCCGACUAUAACUGGGACAGCAAGUCGCCUCGGCGGCAACAUGAUCGAAUUGCGGGGACGUCCUAAAGCUCUCACCACUCCCCUCCAUCAGAAACGAUGGGGGCUCGUCACAGCGUGAGAGAUGUACAAUGGGCGAUCCGCAGCGAAGCCCCGUCAGCCUACCCUGUAGGCCCGGGGACCGUUCACAGACUAGGUGGUCAUGGGCACCGCGGUGCUUAAGAUAUAGUCGGCCAGCUGGGGAAACCUGACUGCUAGCGCGUUCCGUAGGUGAACCUGCGGAAGGAUCAUUA
rnacentral:ncRNA from 1 species